CUACGGGUGGCUGCAGUGGGGAAUAUUGGACAAUGGGGGGAACCCUGAUGCAGCAACGCCGCGUGGAGGAUGACGCAUUUCGGUGUGUAAACUCCUUUUAUAUGUCAAGAAAAUGACGGUAGCAUAUGAAUAAGCACCGGCUAACUCCGUGCCAGCAGCCGCGGUAAUACGGAGGGUGCAAGCGUUACUCGGAAUCACUGGGCGUAAAGGAAGCGUAGGCGGGUUGGAAAGUCAGGUGUGAAAUCCUACAGCUUAACUGUAGAACUGCACUUGAAACUUCUAAUCUAGAGUAUGGGAGGGGGAGAUGGAAUUAGUGGUGUAGGGGUAAAAUCCGUAGAUAUCACUAGGAAUACCUAAAGCGAAGGCGAUCUCCUGGAACAUUACUGACGCUAAGGCGUGAAAGCGUGGGGAGCAAACAGGAUUAGAUACCCUCGUAGUC
rnacentral:rRNA from 1 species